rnacentral:lncRNA from 1 species
ACAUGGAAGUCUCCAAGCCUGUGCCAUCCACCUGCCAAGGAAAAGCACAAGGCAGUAGAGCGAGGGAAGCUGCACUGGCUGAGAGGCUGUGGAACCGGAUGAAAAAGCAGCCCCUGAGUCCUGUGGCGUUGGCUCAUACAGUUUGAACAUUUAUUCGCCUCCUGAGCUUGUACAACAGUCGUGGGAGUUGCUGCAGAAGCAAGCGAAAAGCCAGAUGAGCGCUUCUAAACUUAGAGAGAGGGAGAGCGCCUCAUCUCUUCCAUUUUCCAGGUAUUCCUGAGAUGAUUUAUUGGAGCUCAAAGCUUUGGGAGAGUUGGGGCCUUCCAUUCCCUCCAGUAAAUACUUGUUUUUCUUCCACCGCUGAGGCAAAUGCGGGGUGGCUGAUCACCUGGCAGACAUCUUAGGAAACAGGAGCACCGGUCUGGGAAACUGCUGGCCUGGCCUAACACCUGGCGCUGUGGUGCAGGAAAAUCAGUCUGCGCUGAACAGGAUGGAAUUGGGGCAGGACGUCCAGUGAGGAGGACAUUGAGGCAGUAGAGCAGUUGAUUGCCGAAUGACCACCUACCCUGACUUAAAAGAUCAACCUCAGGGAGGAUUGGAGCUUUCUAGAGUCUCUUGGGACAGCAGAAGCACAGGCCGGGUUGGACUGAAUCUUUAAGUGGACAUGAGGGACAAAGUACCUCCUGUUGGUAAACAUCUCACCACCAACCCACUGUGGUGGCUAAAAUCCCACCUUUAGUCCCAGCAACAUAUGAGCAUGUCACCAGGAGGUCUUCACAGGCCUGUCUGCCACCUGAGUGUAGACAUCUUUUGGCCCUGGAGCCCAGAGAGGCUGAAUGUGGAGAGGGUGGAGAGAGGUCUGUAGUCCUCAGAGAAGACUUGCAGCUUUUUCAGAGCCACCAACCCAUAAAAAAAAAAAUCCCCAAACAGAAAAAUCCUAACUGUGGUGACCAGGUACCUCCUGAGACAUGAAGCCUCCACUUACCUGGACCCUGGAGGCCUCUCCGGGCACAGCUGCCAAUGUUGAUCUUAGAUAAGACCACCAGCAAGUAAACAUCCACUGUGCAAAGCUGUGUUAUCUUUGGGGAACUGAAAUGUCCCCUGGGAGUUGGAAACUCCCCUAGCCACAUACCACAGAGUUGAGGAAGGAAGAGCUGAUGGACGGAAGAACCAUGGCGGGAGGAGUCAUCCGGAAGCUACCUCGCUGCCCUGUCAGUUACGGAACAGAGGAGAGAUGCCGGCUGGAGGACACAGCAAAUUUGAACCAAGAGGAGCUUGGAGGAAGCCCGAGCGACCUGGAGGGGACUGGCUGACCUUCCUCAUUCUUUUCAAGUGUGAAUAAUAACCAAGCCCAGUUUGGCAACUCCUUGAGGGUGAGGACGAAGCCCCAUUCUCCUUUUUGGAACUUGGUGGGGCUCAGGAAGCAGGUUCUCUCCAGUCGGUGGCUUUCCUUUCUGUUGCGGGUCUCUUGAGGGCCUGCCUUCAUGAAGGCACAUGAGUGACUCAUCAUUUGUGAAUUAAUUGCUAUAUGUGAAGGGCAUCUGAGAACAAAUUAUCUUCAUAGACUUUUCAUUAUAAUUUUAUUUGUACUGA